CAGGACUUGACAUCCCUCUGACAGCUCCUUAAUCGGAGCCUUCUACGGACAGAGGAGACAGGUGGUGCAUGGUUGUCGUCAGCUCGUGUCGUGAGAUGUUGGGUUAAGUCCCGCAACGAGCGCAACCCUUGCCAUCAGUUGCCAUCAUUAAGUUGGGCACUCUGGUGGGACUGCCGGGGACAACUCGGAGGAAGGUGGGGAUGACGUCAAAUCAUCAUGCCCCUUAUGUUCUGGGCUACACACGUGCUACAAUGGCCGGUACAACAGGAAGCGAACCCGUGAGGGGGAGCGAAUCCCAAAAACCGGUCCCAGUUCGGACUGCAGGCUGCAACUCGCCUGCACGAAGCCGGAGUUGCUAGUAAUCGCGGAUCAGAAUGCC
rnacentral:rRNA from 1 species